rnacentral:rRNA from 1 species
GAUGAACGCUGGCGGCGUGCCUAACACAUGCAAGUCGAGCGAUCUUCUUCGGAAGAGAGCGGCGGACGGGUGAGUAACGCGUGGGUAACCUGCCUCAUACACAUGGAUAACAUACCGAAAGGUAUGCUAAUACAAGAUAAUAUAAGAGAUUCGCAUGGAUUUCUUAUCAAAGCUCCGGCGGUAUGAGAUGGACCCGCGUCUGAUUAGCUAGUUGGUAAGGUAACGGCUUACCAAGGCGACGAUCAGUAGCCGACCUGAGAGGGUGGUCGGCCACAUUGGAACUGAGACACGGUCCAAACGCCUACGGGAGGCAGCAGUGGGGAAUAUUGCACAAUGGGCGAAAGCCUGAUGCAGCAACGCCGCGUGAGCGAUGAAGGCCUUCGGGUCGUAAAGCUCUGUCCUCAAGGAAGAUAAUGACGGUACUUGAGGAGGAAGCCCCGGCUAACUACGUGCCAGCCGCCGCCGUAA